rnacentral:rRNA from 1 species
GGUCCAGACUCCUACGGGAGGCAGCAGUGAGGGAUAUUGGUCAAUGGGGGAAACCCUGAACCAGCAACGCCGCGUGAGGGAAGACGGUUUUCGGAUUGUAAACCUCUGUCCUCUGUGAAGAUGAUGACGGUACCCACAGAGGAAGCACCGGCUAACUCCGUGCCAGCAGCCGCGGUAAUACGGAGGGUGCAAGCGUUGUCCGGAAUCAUUGGGCGUAAAGAGUUCGUAGGCGGUACGUUAAGUCUGGUGUUAAAUGCAGAAGCUCAACUUCUGUUCGGCACUGGAUACUGGCAAACUAGAAUGCGGUAGAGGUAAAGGGAAUUCCUGGUGUAGCGGUGAAAUGCUUAGAUAUCAGGAGGAACAUCGGUGGCGUAAGCGCUUUACUGGGCCGUAAUUGACGCUGAGGAACGAAAGCCAGGGUAGCAAAUGGGAUUAGAUGCCCUCGUA